rnacentral:rRNA from 1 species
GACGAACGCUGGCGGCGUGCUUAACACAUGCAAGUCAAGGGGAAUCCCGCCUUCGGGCGGGAGGACACUGGCGAACGGGUGAGUAACGCGUAGAUAACCUGCCUCACAGACCGGGAUAUCCCCGGGAAACCGGGAUUAAUACCGGAACGAUCCCGCCUCGCAAGCUGCGGGAUGAAAGCGGGCUUCGGCUCGUGCUGAGAGAUGGGUCUGCGUCUGAUUAGUUUGUUGGUGGGGUAAUGGCCUACCAAGGCAUUGACGGGUAGCUGGUCUGAGAGGAUGGUCAGCCACACUGGGACUGAGACACUGCCCAGACUCCUACGGGAGGCUGCAGUCGAGAAUCUUUAGCAAUGCCCGCAAGGGUGACUAUGCGACGUCGCGUGAGCGAUGAAGGCCUUCGGGUCGUAAAGCUCUGUCAAGCCGGAUGAAAGUUUAGCAUUUGAAUAAAGUGCUAAAUUGACAGUACGGCUAGAGGAAGCCACGGCUAACUCCGUGCCAGCAGCCGCGGUAAUACGGAGGUGGCAAGCGUUGUUCGGAUUUACUGGGUGUAAAGAGUGCGUAGGUGGUCGGGCAAGUCAGGUGUGAAAUCCCACGGCUCAACCGUGGAAUUGCAUUUGAAACUGCUUGGCUUGAGUGCAUGAGAGGAAAGGGGAAUUCUCGGUGUAAGGGUGAAAUCUGUAGAUAUCGAGAGGAACACCAGCGGCGAAGGCGCCUUUCUGGCAUGCAACUGACACUGAGGCACGAAAGCGUGGGGAGCGAACAGGAUUAGAUACCCUGGUAGUCCACGCCGUAAACGAUGGGUACUAGGUGUUUCUGUCUUUGACAGGAGUGCCGCAGCUAACGCAUUAAGUACCCCACCUGGGGAGACGUCGGCAACGAU